UUAAUUGAGAGUUUGAUCCUGGCUCAGGAUGAAUGCUGGCGGCGUGGCUAAGGCAUGCAAGUCGAACGCCUUGUAGCAAUACAAGGAGUGGCAAACGGGUGCGUAACACAUUGGUAACUUACCCCGAAGUCAUGAAUAAGCCUGCGAAAGCGGGUCUAAUACAUGAUAGCAGCGAGGGGACAAAAGUCAUUCUCGCUUAAAGAUUUAUCGCUUCGGGAAAGGCCUAUGGCUUAUCAGCUAGUUGGCGAGGUAAAAGCUCACCAAGGCUAUGACGAGUAGCGGGAUUGAGAGAUCGACCCGCCUCACUGGGACUGAGACACUGCCCAGACUCCUACGGGAGGCUGCAGUCACGAAUAUUCCCAAAUGGCCGCAAGGCUGA
rnacentral:rRNA from 1 species